ACCCUCCAGUUCCCUUUUCCAUCUGAUUUGAACACCACUCUUGGAGUUCGUAAAAGGAGAAAAAAUAAUACUGAAGCUGGCCUCGCAGUGCUUAUCGUCUGCUCUAUAGGAUGUGGGCUAGUUUAAAACAAGC
ensembl:snoRNA